CCUACGGGAGGCAGCAGUGAGGAAUAUUGGUCAAUGGUCGGGAGACUGAACCAGCCAAGCCGCGUGAGGGAUGACGGUCCAGCGUAUCGUAAACCUCUUUUGUCAGGGAACAAAGGCGGGGACGUGUCCCCGGAUGAGUGUACCUGAAAAAAAAGCAUCGGCUAACUCCGUGCCAACGGCCGCGGUAAUACGGGGGAUGCGAGCGUUAUCCGGGUUUAUUGGGUUUAAAGGGUGCGCAGGCGGUCUGUUAAGUCAGCGGUCAAAGCCCGGGGCUCAACCCCGGCCCGCCGUUGAAACUGGCAGUCUUGAGUUGGAGAGAAGUAUGCGGAAUGCGCGGUGUAGCGGUGAAAUGCAUAGAUAGCGCGCAGAACUCCGAUUGCGAAGGCAGCAUGCCGGCGCCACACUGACGCUGAGGCACGAAAGCGUGGGUAUCGAACAGGAUUAGAUACCCCUGUAGUC
rnacentral:rRNA from 1 species